rnacentral:tRNA from 1 species
UCGUCCGGUACCUGGACCGGGGUGAGGCGGCGCCGCUGCUGUCGGCGCUGCCGGCGGAGGCGCUGGUCGAGGCCGCGCUGCGCGAGCC